rnacentral:rRNA from 1 species
UAAUGCAUAGGAAUCUGCCCGAUAGUGGGGGAUAACCUGGGGAAACCCAGGCUAAUACCGCAUACGUCCUACGGGAGAAAGGGGGCUCCGGCUCCCGCUAUGGGAUGAGCCUAUGUCGGAUUAGCUAGUUGGUGAGGUAACGGCUCACCAAGGCCACGAUCCGUAGCUGGUCUGAGAGGAUGAUCAGCCACAUCGGGACUGAGACACGGCCCGAACUCCUACGGGAGGCAGCAGUGGGGAAUAUUGGACAAUGGGGGAAACCCUGAUCCAGCCAUGCCGCGUGUGUGAAGAAGGCCCUCGGGUUGUAAAGCACUUUCAGCGAGGAAGAACGCCUAGCGGUUAAUACCCGCUAGGAAAGACAUCACUCGCAGAAGAAGCACCGGCUAACUCCGUGCCAGCAGCCGCGGUAAUACGGAGGGUGCAAGCGUUAAUCGGAAUUACUGGGCGUAAAGCGCGCGUAGGUGGCUUGAUAAGCCGGUUGUGAAAGCCCCGGGCUCAACCUGGGAACGGCAUCCGGAACUGUCAAGCUAGAGUGCAGGAGAGGAAGGUAGA